UACGGAGGGUGCAAGCGUUAUCCGGAAUCACUGGGUUUAAAGGGUGCGUAGGCGGUCCGAUAAGUCAGAGGUGAAAGCUGGCAGCUUAACUGUCAAAUUGCCUUUGAUACUGUUGGACUUGAAUCAGGUUGAGGUAUGCAGAAUGUGGCAUGUAGCGGUGAAAUGCAUAGAUAUGCCAUAGAAUACCAAUUGCGAAGGCAGCAUGCUGGGCCUGUAUUGACGCUGAGGCACGAAAGCGUGGGGAUCAAACAGG
rnacentral:rRNA from 1 species